GACGAACGCUGGCGGCGUGCCUAAUACAUGCAAGUUGAGCGCUGAAGGUUGGUACUUGUACCAACUGGAUGAGCAGCGAACGGGUGAGUACCGCGUGGGGAAUCUGCCUUUGAGCGGGGGACAACAUUUGGAAACGAAUGCUAAUACCGCAUAAAAACUUUAAACACAAGUUUUAAGUUUGAAAGAUGCAAUUGCAUCACUCAAAGAUGAUCCCGCGUUGUAUUAGCUAGUUGGUGAGGUAAAGGCUCACCAAGGCGAUGAUACAUAGCCGACCUGAGAGGGUGAUCGGCCACAUUGGGACUGAGACACGGCCCAAACUCCUACGGGAGGCAGCAGUAGGGAAUCUUCGGCAAUGGACGAAAGUCUGACCGAGCAACGCCGCGUGAGUGAAGAAGGGUUUCGGAUCGUAAAACUCUGUUGGUAGAGAAGAACGUUGGUGAGAGUGGAAAGCUCAUCAAGUGACGGUAACUACACAGAAAGGGACGGCUAACUACGUG
rnacentral:rRNA from 1 species